CCUACGGGUCGCAGCAGUGGGGAAUAUUGCACAAUGGGCGCAAGCCUGAUGCAGCCAUGCCGCGUGUAUGAAGAAGGCCUUCGGGUUGUAAAGUACUUUCAGCGGGGAGGAAGGUGUUGUGGUUAAUAACCGCAGCAAUCGACGUUACCCGCAGAAGAAGCACCGGCUAACUCCGUGCCAGCAGCCGCGGUAAUACGGAGGGUGCAAGCGUUAAUCGGAAUUACUGGGCGUAAAGCGCACGCAGGCGGUCUGUCAAGUCGGAUGUGAAAUCCCCGGGCUCAACCUGGGAACUGCAUUCGAAACCGGCAGGCUAGAGUCUUGUAGAGGGGGGUAGAAUUCCAGGUGUAGCGGUGAAAUGCGUAGAGAUCAGGAGGAACACCAGUGGCGAAGGCGGCCUGCUGGACAUUAACUGACGCUGAGGAGCGAAAGCGUGGGGAGCAAACAGGAUUAGAUACCCGCGUAGUC
rnacentral:rRNA from 1 species